rnacentral:lncRNA from 1 species
GCCUGUAACGCUACUUGUUAUCACUUCGUAACGUGUUUACGUUACAUUCGGUGAAAGAUAGGAGUCACUGAGCUUAGUUACACACGGAAUCACUGAAAAGUGGUGGCCGCCGGAGCAGCCGAUGCCGUCAUCGAAGUUCUGGGAGUAGCUCUGCAGGUCGUACCCGAACGACCUCACCGCGGCCCGACGCCUCGGCCGCGCCGCUCCUCUCCUCCAUGUGGACCUCAUCAGUCUCGACAGCAGCUGCUUCACUGCCGCCGUCGACCACCUUCCGGCUGCUGGCGGCCGGCCGGUGUGCAGGCCCAGCAGAGACGCCAUGACCCUACGACGAACUUUUCAUGAUUUCAUCUACCCCUACGACGAAUUUCUACGUCCUGCAAAGCGCCGUCAGCAAAGAAAAAGGAUUUACUUCAAAAAAGAAAAAGAAAAAGGAAAAAGGAAGCGCACUAACGUCAAAGCAAAAUCUCUAGAUGAGAGCAAGCAAGCUGCUAUUUGCAUGCAUGUGACGGUGGAGUCAUCACCUGAUCGGAUGAUCGACAGAUCACACGAAAAGGACGGCCGUUGGUGAUGGCGGUAUGGGGAAUUGGGGAUAAUCAUCCGAGUCAAUCAUCCGAGUCAUCGUGGUCCAUCUAUGAGUUGGCCGUUUGGGCUUUUGAGCUUUUGCCUUCCCGCAUACGUGAGAUUUUGCUGAUGGCGCUACCUUUUUGCUUGAGUUGAAAUCUAGCUUUAACUUCGCCACAAAGAAAAAUUAUUCUGAGUGAUUUGAUACAAACUAUAUAUAUUUUUUUGGAAUCAUCAGAUUCAAAAUUAAAGUUCCCAUAGGAUUCCUUCUCCACUUUUGUUUAUAAAGACAGCCUUACAAUGCAUGAAACAUGAGAAAAAUACAAGUGAAGAUUCUUUCAGUCAAAUAAAUCGACAAAAAAGCGAAUACCUGUCAGGCUAACCGUACUCGUACGCGAACAUGCAUGUCACGCCAGCUAAAAAGAAUCACAACUUGGUGUUUCUACACUAGCGCUGAGAGGUUGCAAACACUCACAGAUCGAUCACGUGAAACACAUUUGGUUAAUUCGGUUGAUGACAUUCACGUUUAGUUUCUUGUGACUUGUGAGCUGAAGAACAUGUGCCUGGCCUCCCGGCCAUCUAGUUUCAGCGACUUUCACCUAUCUCCCAAAAACCUAAAAGCAGCCACAGAUAGUUUGGCGGGUAGGUGAACAAUUUGCCUACAGGUUUGGCACAUUCUUAAGCCAGGAAUCAGUUUCCAACAGCUGACAAAGAAGCUCAUUCUGCGUGCUGACUGAUGGCAGCAAAUUUACAGUAGCCAGCUACAAAGAAGAAAAGCGAGUAGUCAUUUACAGUAACUGGACGAGCCAGCUAUCUAGCUAUCUAGCUUAGCUAAUGACCGAGAAGCACUGAGCUAGCUACACACGGCGGAAUCACUGAAAGCGGUGCAGUGGCCGGAGGAGGCGAGGCCGUCGUCGAAGUUCUGGGAGUAGCUCUGCAGGUCGUACCCGAACUUCACUGCAGGCCGCCUCGGCCGCCCCGCGCUUCUCCUCCAUGUGGACCUCAGCCUCGACAGCAGCUGCUUCGCCGCCGCCGAGGCCACCGACGACCGCCCGCCGCUCCUGCCGUCGACCCUUCUCCGGCUGCCGCCGGUGUACAGGCCCAGCCGAGACGCCAUGAUCCUCUCUCGAUCGCUCGUAGUAGCGCUGUCACGACUGAAAUCUCACAGCUGAGCUAAUAAUAAUUAGGCACCAGGACGCUCUUGACUCCUGUCUCACAGGCGCGUGCAGCUUCUCAGAGACCUUUGCCUGGAUGAUCGAUGCCUGCCGUGCCGCUGCUUUUAUAGGCUGCGACCGGAUCGGAAUGAAUCGGAUAGGGUUCCUGCUGUCGAGGUCCCCGGCCGGGCCCACCGGCACGCACGCACUGAGUCACUAACGCACAGGGCCACGACGGCAUCCACCAGGAUGGAUUCUCGAUCGGCU